rnacentral:rRNA from 1 species
CGCGGACUAUAAUGCAGUCGAGCGGACAGAAGGGAGCUUGCUCCCGGAUGUUAGCGGCGGACGGGUGAGUAACACGUGGGUAACCUGCCUGUAAGACUGGGAUAACUCCGGGAAACCGGAGCUAAUACCGGAUAGUUCCUUGAACCGCAUGGUUCAAGGAUGAAAGACGGUUUCGGCUGUCACUUACAGAUGGACCCGCGGCGCAUUAGCUAGUUGGUGAGGUAACGGCUCACCAAGGCGACGAUGCGUAGCCGACCUGAGAGGGUGAUCGGCCACACUGGGACUGAGACACGGCCCAGACUCCUACGGGAGGCAGCAGUAGGGAAUCUUCCGCAAUGGACGAAAGUCUGACGGAGCAACGCCGCGUGAGUGAUGAAGGUUUUCGGAUCGUAAAGCUCUGUUGUUAGGGAAGAACAAGUGCAAGAGUAACUGCUUGCACCUUGACGGUACCUAACCAGAAAGCCACGGCUAACUACGUGCCAGCAGCCGCGGUAAUACGUAGGUGGCAAGCGUUGUCCGGAAUUAUUGGGCGUAAAGGGCUCGCAGGCGGUUUCUUAAGUCUGAUGUGAAAGCCCCCGGCUCAACCGGGGAGGGUCAUUGGAAACUGGGAAACUUGAGUGCAGAAGAGGAGAGUGGAAUUCCACGUGUAGCGGUGAAAUGCGUAGAGAUGUGGAGGAACACCAGUGGCGAAGGCGACUCUCUGGUCUGUAACUGACGCUGAGGAGCGAAAGCGUGGGGAGCGAACAGGAUUAGAUACCCUGGUAGUCCACGCCGUAAACGAUGAGUGCUAAGUGUUAGGGGGUUUCCGCCCCUUAGUGCUGCAGCUAACGCAUUAAGCACUCCGCCUGGGGAGUACGGUCGCAAGACUGAAACUCAAAGGAAUUGACGGGGGCCCGCACAAGCGGUGGAGCAUGUGGUUUAAUUCGAAGCAACGCGAAGAACCUUACCAGGUCUUGACAUCCUCUGACAACCCUAGAGAUAGGGCUUUCCCUUCGGGGACAGAGUGACAGUGGUGCAUGAUGUCGUCAGCUCGUGUCGUGAGAUGGUUGGGUAGUCCCGCACGAGCGCACCUUGAUCU